AAUGGAGGCAACUCUGACCCAGCCAUGCCGCGUGCAGGAAGAAUGCCUAUGGGUUGUAAACUGCUUUUAUUUAGGAAUAACCCCUUUACGCGUAGAGGGCUGAAUGUACUAAACGAAUAAGCACCGGCUAACUCCGUGCCAGCAGCCGCGGUAAUACGGAGGGUGCAAGCGUUAUCCGGAAUCAUUGGGUUUAAAGGGUCCGCAGGCGGAUGUAUAAGUCAGUGGUGAAAUCCUGCAGCUUAACUGCAGAACUGCCAUUGAUACUGUACAUCUUGAAUUCGGUCGAAGUGGGCGGAAUGUGUAGUGUAGCGGUGAAAUGCAUAGAUAUUACACAGAACACCGAUAGCGAAGGCAGCUCACUAGGCCUGGAUUGACGCUCAGGGACGAAAGCGUGGGGAUCAAACAGGAUU
rnacentral:rRNA from 1 species